rnacentral:RNase_P_RNA from 1 species
AAAGUUUGACAGACAAUCGCUGGUGAUGCUUAAGGCGUCACGAGAGGAAAGUCCGGGCUCCAUAGGGCAGGGUGCUGGAUAACGUCCAGUCAGCGCGAGUUGAAGGAUAGUGCCACAGAAAUGGACCGCCGAUGGCCGUCACAAGCGGCACAGGCAAGGAUGGAACCGAGGUGUAAGAGACCCCGAGGAACGCUGGUGACUUCGUUCCUGGUAAACCCCACUUGGAGCAAGACCUAAUGGAACGCAGCUUCUCUGUGCAAGGAGAGCAGCCUUAGCCCGAGGCGCGUUUAGGUUGGUCGCUGGAGCCGUUCAGCAAUGUUCGGCCUAGAUAGAUGAUUGUCGUUUGGAGUGGGAGGGUAGUUCCCGUAUGAACCACAAUAGACACAGAACCCGGCUUACGGCAGACUUUCAGA